AGGAUGACCUGCGGAGGAUCAUUA
rnacentral:rRNA from 1 species